rnacentral:rRNA from 1 species
ACGUAGGGUCCAAGCGUUAUCCGGAAUUACUGGGCGUAAAGCGUACGUAGGCGGCGCGUUAAGUGCAACGCGAAAUCUUGCGGCUCAACCGUAUAGACUGUGUUGCAUACUGGCGUGCUUGAGGAUGGCAGAGGCAAGUGGAAUUUGUAGUGUAGCAGUGAAAUGCGUAGAUAUUACAAGGAACACCAAUGGCGAAGGCAGCUUGCUGGGCCAUUUCUGACGCUGAGGUACGAAAGCGUGGGGAGCGAACAGGA